rfam:Planktothrix tepida PCC 9214 isolate BBR_PRJEB10993 genome assembly, scaffold: BBR_B_PL9214_scaffold26
GUCAGCAACCCGCACUCUCUGUGACAAGGCUACGCGCGGAGCGAAAGUUACGCGAAGUAAUGCCUCACUCCUAGCGUGAUAGUUGACCAGCCUAAGUGCCUUGUGUACUAAGUUUUUUGAGUCAUGACACCCUGUAGAUGCGUAGCUAGUCUCCGGCUCUGUCGUUAGUGGUUAAACAUCUUUAUCGGGUUAAGGAAGUGCUGCUAACCUAACAAGCUCUUAAAACCUUGGCAAAGCUAACUUUAC